GACGGAGGGUGCAAGCGUUGUUCGGAUUGACUGGGCGUAAAGGGCGUGUAGGCGGUUGCCCAAGUCCGAUGUGAAAGCCCGAGGCUUAGCCUCGGAAGUGCAUCGGAAACUAGGCAGCUGGAGCGCGAUAGAGGAGGGUAGAAUUCCUGGUGUAGCGGUGAAAUGCGUAGAUAUCAGGAGGAAUACCGGCGGCGAAGGCGGCCCUCUGGAUCGUUGCUGACGCUGAGACGCGAAAGCGUGGGGAGCAAACAGG
rnacentral:rRNA from 1 species